rnacentral:rRNA from 1 species
UACGGGGAGUGCGAGCGUUGUUCGGAAUUAUUGGGCGUAAAGCGCGUGUAGGCGGCCUGACAAGUCUGGAGUGAAAGCCCUCGGCUCAACCGGGGAAGUGCUUCGGAAACUGUCGGGCUUGAGUUCUGGAGGGGCGAGUGGAAUUCCCAGUGUAGAGGUGAAAUUCGUAGAUAUUGGGAGGAACACCAGUGGCGAAGGCGGCUCGCUGGACAGUGACUGACGCUGAGACGCGAAAGCGUGGGGAG